GGGUUGGCCAAAAAAAGUUUGUUUGGGUUUUCCUGUAAGCUGGUAUGGAAAACCUGAAACAAACUUUUUAGCCAACCCA
ensembl:miRNA